rnacentral:piRNA from 1 species
UGGGUGUUCACGGCGCAAGUCUGCAAACUCU